AUGAGAAGGGGUCGCGCGGCGUCGACCGACGUCGCCGAGGUGCCCGCCGACAAGGGCGUGGGCGCCAACGGGGCACACCAGGCGGCCGCCAAGGAAGGAGAUCCUGAGACAAGUUUGUGUAGCAAGGCCAUUAAAAUCAUGACGUACAAUGUGUGUUUCGGGAAGGAUUAUGAACUGCACAGCAGGAUUCUUGCUCUUGGAAAUAUUAUUCAGCACCACAGCCCAGACCUUAUAUGCCUCCAGGAGGUUACACCAGAGAUAGAUGGGCUUCUGGAAAAAUCCGCCUGGUGGCCAGAAUACAAAUGCUUCAUGUCACGUGAGAUGGAAUAUUACAUGGAGGAGGACAUCGCCGGUUCCAAUAUGGGGAAACCAUUGUCGAAACGAAAAUAA
rnacentral:rRNA from 1 species